GGGCUCUUGUUCCGCCAAGAGCAAAAUUUCUUCCUCUCUCUCUCUCCGCCUCGGAGAUUUUCGCGGAUUCCAGGCCUCGGAUCCCUCCUCUCGCCCCGGAUUCUAGUAACUUCUCGUUGCAAGAACAGGGGAUGGAUCGCUGAUUCGUGCGCCGGUAGCUGCAUUUGAUCGAUCUUGCGGCUUCCAUCGAUUCGAUCGGCCCGGGAUGCUCGCGAAUCCAGGCAAGAAACCGCGGAUUUGCGAGAUUUCGGGGGAAUUGGAGUGGCGGAUUGCAAUGUCGCAGCCGCCGACGGUGAUCUCGCAGGUGGAGCGCGACGACGACAUGUUCUACGAGAUCCUCAAGCACCUCGACGCCAAAGCCCUGGCCAUGGCGGCGUGCGUCAAUCGGCGGUGGAGGCGCGCCGCCGAGGACGAGACGCUGUGGGAGAACGUGUGCACGAUCAACUGGUCCAGCGCCAGCGGCGCCUCGUCGCAAGCGUCGCAGCUCAGGUCUGUGGUUCUUGCGCUGGGGGGAUUCCGCCGCCUCUACGUUCUUUGCCUCCGGCCCCUCUUGUCACGCUCCUCCUCGGUUCCAGCCAAGGCGAGCGUCCAGCAGCAAGAGAAGUGGAGCAAAGACGAAGUCCAUCUCUCGCUCUCGCUCUUCUCCAUCGAUUGCUACGAGAGAUUGGGUCGACGAUACAGCAAUUGCCACGGCUCGCCGCUCAAGCUCCUCUGCAAAUCCUCCCGCAAGGCUGAUCAGCGCUACUUGGUUCCAAAUGCCGCUGCUGCGCUAGAGCUCUCCGGCGUGAAUUGAUGCUCCAGCUCUUCGAUUCUUCCAUCCAUGGAUCGGCAGCACAAGCUUUGUGAGACGAGCCGGAUUGUGAGAGGGAGAGGAGUUCUCUUUUUCCCACAGCACAAACUUGACACACACCUCCAAAAGCGUGUUUGUUCUCGAGUGCGUGUCGAUUUUGUUCUGUAGGGACACUCCAAGAAAAAAAAAAUUUCUAUGUUUUUUUUUUUGUGUUCUUCCAAGCGAUCGUGAUCAAAGAACAAUACCACUUUGUCU